rnacentral:rRNA from 1 species
UACAGAGGUCUCAAGCGUUUGUUCGGAUUCAUUGGGCGUAAAGGGUGCGUAGGUGGCGCUGUAAGUCGGGUGUGAAAUUUCGGAGCUUAACUCCGAAACUGCAUUCGAUACUGCGGUGCUUGAGGACUGGAGAGGAGACUGGAAUUCAUGGUGUAGCAGUGAAAUGCGUAGAGAUCAUGAGGAGGACCAGUGGCGAAGGCGGGUCUCUGGACAGUUCCUGACACUGAGCACGAAGGCCAGGGGAGCAAACGGG